GUUCAGUUCACUAAUUCUUCUGGAGCCCGCGAGCUCGCCGCUCUUUCCUGCAGCUACUUUGGUUAUGUAGCAUUUGAGUGGUGUGGCAUGAGCGGAAUAAUUGAAUAUUCAAGGCUAAGGAAACUGCAAUUCAUCGGAUGCUAGAUAAAAGUCAAAGUAUAUUCGCUUUUGUGGAUGAAAGCAUAUAAUGUGAACCUCAUUUUAAAUUCUCAUAUGUGGUGGUCGAGCC
rnacentral:lncRNA from 1 species